CGAAAACAAGUUCCAUCACAACAGAAAUCCAGGAACUGCUCCACCUAACACACGAGGACUCCCGUAUAUAAAGACCUCACCCCAGGGGCGAAAAAAUGAUGGGUAACCUCUGCUCUCUAGCUCUCCCAUUCUCUAAUAUCAUUCUCAGCUCUCCACUAAGUGCUAAGUUAGGCAUCGGAGUGACCUCGCCGAGUUAGCCACCCUGAGUCCUCUCACAUUUGGUUAAUUGCAGGCCCUAAAGAGUAACAAAGCUCAUCAAGGUAGCUCACCACUAGGCAGCUCAUCAAGGUAGUUCACCACCAGGCAAUUCAUCAAGGUAAUUCACCACCAAGCAGCUCAUCAAGGUAGUUCACCACUACACAGUUUGCCACUAGGUAGUUUGCCACCAAGGAUCUCCACUUCAGCCUUUGAGUAACAGGACACUUGAGAGCAGACGAGCUAACGAGGUACUUAGCCAAAAAAACUGAUACUUGACCAGAAAUCGUUACAUCAGUUUCAAGCUCCUUUGUUCAAAUCUGGUGUUGCCUGCUCCUUUGUCCAAAUCUGGUGUUGCUCGCUCCAGUUCCCUUCUCCCUCUCUCUUCAUUUUUCAUUUUCCCCUUUCUCCCUCUCUGACUUUCUCUUUAUAUCCCCUCUUUCUCUUUCUCCCCUUUCCUGUCUCUCUCGCUCUCUCUUCGUUUUAUUACAGAGACGUCUCUCUCCCUCUCCCCCUCUUUCUUUGUUUUUCAUUUUUAGCUUUCUCCCUCUCCACUUUCCUCUCUGUCUUUCUCCCUCUUUCUUCGUUUGGUAUUCCAGAUGAAGCUGUCUGAAGACUUAAAGUCGGGACAGAGAACUGGAGAGUUAGGGUUUGGUGCUUCGCAGAUACACUCUUCGACCUCCUUUGUUUAGAUCUGGAAGUUGGUGCUGAUCUUGGUGUUCCAGAUGAAGUUCUCUGAAGAUGUAAAGUUAGGACAGAGAACUGGAGAGAUAGGUUUGGUGGUACGCAGAGAUAUUCUUCGAGUCCCUUCAUGUUCAGAUCUAGAUCAGGUGCCAUGGGCAUCCGACAAUACUGAGAUCAGUAAUAAGGCAACGUGUUGGAAUGAAAGGCCACAUGCUGCUUGAUAUGGACACGUUGUCUAACAGGUUGCAUUCAACGCUUCAACCUUCAAAAUCUUCGACGAGAUCAUCAAUUUUUAUUUUAUUUAGAAUUAAUACAACUGAAAGUCUGAAAUGUUGACUUGAUGGCUGGCUGGUGGGAGCGGUUCAGUGAUAAUUUAUGCGAAUAUAUUAAUACUCUGCGGCAACUGAAAGUCUGAAAUAUUGACUUGAUGGCUAAUUCUGGUUGCAAUGAUGGCUGGCGGGAGCGGCUCAGUGAUAAUUUGUCAGCAACCAAUAUAUUAAUACUCUCUUAACUAGAGUUUCUCUUCACAUUACAGAAGUCUUCUUCACAUCACAACAUCAGAGUAAGUUUGAAACAAUCUCUGAACUGGUUUAACCUGUUAGUACCUUUGGGCUUCAAAGCUCCGUUAGCUAGACUUUAUAGUAUCAUUAUUUAGAUACUAUAGGCUAUGCCACAGGAUUUUUUUUAACAUUUUCUGCAAUCAGAAAUAGUAUUUGAUUUGUAGUGUUGUAGGGAAGGGGAGAAUUUUAUUAGGAUUGGAUCAGAGUAGUGGUGGAUGCUAAAUUAUCACCUGGACCCAGAACUGGAUUGGAUCAAAUUGGUACUGUAGAUGUACUUAAGUAUCUAUUAUGAGUUCUUUUCCCUUUUCUUGUUCUUAGCUUUUUGUGAUGGGUUAUGUUUUCUUUUUUUAUUUGCAAAGAUUGAGCAAAUAGACAAUAGGUUAACUCUAAUAUGAAUUCUUGUUCAAGCAUUGAUCA